GGAUGGUCUGUAUUGUAAGUCCAUAAUCAGACAAGACAGUUUGCAUGAGAUUUCCUAUGUGUUUGCAUAGUAAAGAUAUUCUUGGUUCAAAACACAUGGAAAGAGCUUGUAUUUAGGGUGGAAGAUUCUCAAAAUAGACUAUAUGUGGGUUUUUUUUGUCUUAAUAUGUAAGCAUUCCUUGAUCUUGUCUGGAUGUAAAAACCAGGGAAGAUGUUGACUGCCAAACCAGGCCUCAACCUGGUGGUGGCAAGAUGUUUGACUAAAUUACACAGGCAAAAUUUUAUUUUAUCUCUUCUUUCUCGAAUUGUAAUUUAUGACUCCAAGAUUUUUAGACAACUAACUUAGUUUGCUAGUAAUGCUAGUGAAUCACAAAAUAGAUAUCAUUGAGUUGCAUGAAAAUUGGUCAUACUGAGAACUUCAAAUGCUGUCAGCCUCUGUCUGGGGUCCAAGUUCAGCAUCUUUCUCACAAGAUCCUUAGCACCAGCACAAACAAGAAUUAUUUGAAUAGAUGAAGAAGCACCAGCCCAGAAUGGAGGAACUCCACAGAGAAAAAUAAGCAAACACAGUUUCGUCGAACAUGUGGUGGACAAAAAGGCGGAAGAGGAGGGGAAGAAGAAGGAAGAAGAAAAGAGAA